GAUGAAGAACGUAGCGAAAUGCGAUACGUAGUGUGAAUUGCAGAAUCCAGUGAAUCAUCGAAUCUUUGAACGCACAUUGCGCCCGCCAGUAUUCUGGCGGGCAUGCCUGUUCGAGCGUCAUUUCAACCCUCAAGCCCCCGGGCUUGGUGUUGGGGAUCGGCGUGCCCUCGCGGCGCGCCGUCCCCUAAAUCUAGUGGCGGUCUCGCUGUAGCUUCCUCUGCGUAGUAGCAACACUCGCACUGGAUCGCAGCGCGGCCACGCCGUUAAACCCCCCACUUCUGAAAGUUUGACCUCGGAUCAGGUAGGAAUACCCGCUGAACUUAAGCAUAUCAAUAAGCGGAGGA
rnacentral:misc_RNA from 1 species